rnacentral:lncRNA from 1 species
CGUGUACGUGUGAUUCCUCCUGCACCAAACGAUUCUUCUUCAAAACUCCCCGGAUGCUGGCAUCCUGCGAACCUAGACUUCCACACUUCUAUUAUGACUGCAACUGUGACUGACUGCACACUGCGCCACCUGUGCUUAUGGGUACCGGGGGAAUCGAGAUUGUGGGGUGCGAUGCUUUCGUUUCACGAGGUGAUAGCUAGACCAUCGUCGCAAGCAACGAAUCCUC